GUGAGGAAUAUUGGUCAAUGGUCGGGAGACUGAACCAGCCAAGCCGCGUGAGGGAGGAAGGUACAGAGUAUCGUAAACCUCUUUUGUCAGGGAACAAAGGCGGGGACGUGUCCCCGGAUGAGUGUACCUGAAGAAAAAGCAUCGGCUAACUCCGUGCCAGCAGCCGCGGUAAUACGGAGGAUGCGAGCGUUAUCCGGAUUUAUUGGGUUUAAAGGGUGCGCAGGCGGUCUGUUAAGUCAGCGGUCAAAGCCCGGGGCUCAACCCCGGCCCGCCGUUGAAACUGGCAGUCUCGAGUUGGAGAGAAGUAUGCGGAAUGCGCGGUGUAGCGGUGAAAUGCAUAGAUAUCGCGCAGAACUCCGAUUGCGAAGGCAGCAUGCCGGCUCCACACUGACGCUGAGGCACGAAAGCGUGGGUAUCGAACAGGAUUAGAAACCCUAGUAGUCC
rnacentral:rRNA from 1 species